rnacentral:rRNA from 1 species
AUUGAACGCUGGCGGUAUGCCUUACACAUGCAAGUCGAACGGUAGAGGAGCAAUCCUCGAGAGUGGCGAACGGGUGAGUAAUACAUCGGAACGUGCCCAGUCGUGGGGGAUAACGUAGCGAAAGCUACGCUAAUACCGCAUACGACCUGAGGGUGAAAGCGGGGGACCGUAAGGCCUCGCGCGAUUGGAGCGGCCGAUGGCAGAUUAGGUAGUUGGUGGGGUAAAGGCCCACCAAGCCUGCGAUCUGUAGCUGGUCUGAGAGGACGACCAGCCACACUGGGACUGAGACACGGCCCAGACUCCUACGGGAGGCAGCAGUGGGGAAUUUUGGACAAUGGGCGAAAGCCUGAUCCAGCCAUACCGCGUGCGGGAAGAAGGCCUUCGGGUUGUAAACCGCUUUUGUCAGGGAAGAAAUACUUCGGGCUAAUACCCUGGGGUGAUGACGGUACCUGAAGAAUAAGCACCGGCUAACUACGUGCCAGCAGCCGCCGUAAUAC